rnacentral:lncRNA from 1 species
UUUCUAGUAAGUAAUUAAAGGAACAUACUCCCUUCUGUAGUUUAUCCUCCACAGCCGUAGCACCAACAAGGAUCAAAUCCUUUUCCAUCAUAUCAGAUAUGCGUUCAAGAAUAACAUCUCUAUCCCCACUAAUUGAAGUUUUUGCUUUAGUAAACUCUUCAUUCCAAGCCGAGUACUCUGCCUCAUCAAGCUUUUUGUAGGCAAGCACAAGGGUACGCAAACCUGCCCGUUCAAGAAUAACAUCUCUAUCCCCACCAAUUGAAGUUUUUGCUUUGGUAAACUCUUCAUUCCAAGUCGAGUACUCUGCCUCAUCGAGCUUUUUGUAUGCAAGCACAAGGGUAC